rnacentral:rRNA from 1 species
GAUGAACGCUGGCGGCGUGCCUAAUACAUGCAAGUCGAGCGAACGGACGAGAAGCUUGCUUCUCUGAUGUUAGCGGCGGACGGGUGAGUAACACGUGGAUAACCUACCUAUAAGACUGGGAUAACUUCGGGAAACCGGAGCUAAUACCGGAUAAUAUUUUGAACCGCAUGGUUCAAAAGUGAAAGACGGUCUUGCUGUCACUUAUAGAUGGAUCCGCGCUGCAUUAGCUAGUUGGUAAGGUAACGGCUUACCAAGGCAACGAUGCAUAGCCGACCUGAGAGGGUGAUCGGCCACACUGGAACUGAGACACGGUCCAGACUCCUACGGGAGGCAGCAGUAGGGAAUCUUCCGCAAUGGGCGAAAGCCUGACGGAGCAACGCCGCGUGAGUGAUGAAGGUCUUCGGAUCGUAAAACUCUGUUAUUAGGGAAGAACAUAUGUGUAAGUAACUGUGCACAUCUUGACGGUACCUAAUCAGAAAGCCACGGCUAACUACGUGCCAGCAGCCGCGGUAAUACGUAGGUGGCAAGCGUUAUCCGGAAUUAUUGGGCGUAAAGCGCGCGUAGGCGGUUUUUUAAGUCUGAUGUGAAAGCCCACGGCUCAACCGUGGAGGGUCAUUGGAAACUGGAAAACUUGAGUGCAGAAGAGGAAAGUGGAAUCCCAUGUGUAGCGGUGAAAUGCGCAGAGAUAUGGAGGAACACCAGUGGCGAAGGCGACUUUCUGGUCUGUAACUGACGCUGAUGUGCGAAAGCGUGGGGAUCAAACAGGAUUAGAUACCCUGGUAGUCCACGCCGUAAACGAUGAGUGCUAAGUGUUAGGGGGUUUCCGCCCCUUAGUGCUGCAGCUAACGCAUUAAGCACUCCGCCUGGGGAGUACGACCGCAAGGUUGAAACUCAAAGGAAUUGACGGGGACCCGCACAAGCGGUGGAGCAUGUGGUUUAAUUCGAAGCAACGCGAAGAACCUUACCAAAUCUUGACAUCCUUUGACAACUCUAGAGAUAGAGCCUUCCCCUUCGGGGGACAAAGUGACAGGUGGUGCAUGGUUGUCGUCAGCUCGUGUCGUGAGAUGUUGGGUUAAGUCCCGCAACGAGCGCAACCCUUAAGCUUAGUUGCCAUCAUUAAGUUGGGCACUCUAAGUUGACUGCCGGUGACAAACCGGAGGAAGGUGGGGAUGACGUCAAAUCAUCAUGCCCCUUAUGAUUUGGGCUACACACGUGCUACAAUGGACAAUACAAAGGGCAGCGAAACCGCGAGGUCAAGCAAAUCCCAUAAAGUUGUUUUCAGUUCGGAUUGUAGUCUGCAACUCGACUACAUGAAGCUGGAAUCGCUAGUAAUCGUAGAUCAGCAUGCUACGGUGAAUACGUUCCCGGGUCU